rnacentral:rRNA from 1 species
GAUGAACGCUGGCGGUAUGCUUAACACAUGCAAGUCGAACGGACUCUUCGGAGUUAGUGGCGGACGGGUGAGUAACGCGUGAGAAUCUGGCUUUGGGUUCGGGACAACCACUGGAAACGGUGGCUAAUACCGGAUGUGCCGAGAGGUAAAAGAGAAAUUGCCUGAAGAUGAGCUCGCGUCUGAUUAGCUAGUUGGUGAGGUAAAGGCUCACCAAGGCAGCGAUCAGUAGCUGGUCUGAGAGGAUGACCAGCCACACUGGGACUGAGACACGGCCCAGACUCCUACGGGAGGAAGCAGUGGGGAAUUAUCCGCAAUGGGCGAAAGCCUGACGGAGCAAUACCGCGUGAGGGAAGAAGGCUCUUGGGUUGUAAACCUCUUUUCUUAGGGAAGAACAAAAUGACGGUACCUAAGGAAUCAGCAUCGGCUAACUCCGUG